AUCGCUUCUCAGCCUUUUGGCCAAGAUCAAGUGUAAUUCUCCAAAGUCAGCCUUUUCAGCUAGAUUAGAAACUCCUUAAGGAGGAGGACUCUCUAUUUUACACUGUUAUAUGCUUAGGUACCAACAGUACAAAAGCAGGGUUCAAU
rnacentral:sRNA from 1 species